CAACCCUCAAGCCCCCGGGUUUGGUGUUGGGGAUCGGGUCCUGCGAGCAAUCGCGGCCCGGCCCCGAAAUCUAGUGGCGGUCUCGCUGCGGCCUCCUUUGCGUAGUAGCUAACACCUCGCAACUGGAACGCGGCGCGGCCAAGCCGUUAAACCCCCCAACUUCUGAA
rnacentral:misc_RNA from 1 species